rnacentral:lncRNA from 1 species
GGUAGUUUUGAAGCUGUUUCCAAGAUCAGUUUCAAAUAAAUGCCAGUUCCCAAAUUCACAAGAUUGUGGGUUUUGUUUUUGUUUUUGUUUUUUUCUUUCAUUAUGCUGCAUUUGUCAAGGCGAGGUUUAUUUUCACCCUGGAGUGCAGUCACACUCCCACUUCAAGUCUGCCAGGAUCAGCAGCAAUCCUUAUGGAAGUGACCCAACUGUGCAGACAGCCCCAUAAAGAUGAAAAGAAGCUUCAGGAAUAAAAAAAGAGUCAGAAAAGGAUGCAGUCCCCACCUCACUGGGGUGACCAACUGGUUGCAUAGGACCACAUCAUGUGAAAGGGGAGACCAAAGCCUGGAGUAUUUUCUGCAGCUCUGAUUGCUGGUGUUGAAGAUGCAGUUCAGUGGAUGCAGGUGCAGACGGGAUCACAAGGACAGGCAGAGGGAUGGGGACAUUGCCAUUGAGAAGAAGGGCCUUUUCAUCAAGGAGCACUCUCUAAAGGCGGGGGAAAAAGUCAAGCAGAGAGCAGGUGGUGUAGGAAGCCAGAGUCAACCUGCUGCAGGAGGAGUUGCUGAGCGUGCUGAGCCGU